rnacentral:lncRNA from 1 species
GGUAAGAAUGCCAUUUAUCUCCUGACUUGUUUAUUCUAUGUUCAAAGGUUCUACCUAAAUUUCUUAAGUAAUUAGCUAUGCAACUUCAUUUUGAGAACUUGGUCAAGGGGGCCCAAUAGUAUCCCAUAUCCUAUAUGUAGAUGAUAUUCUUUUGAUUACAAGAGCUACUACAAGGGAUAGCAUAUGCCUUAAAGCUAUUGUCAAUGCCUACUAUACUAUGCCAAGCUAGAUGAUCAAUAUAGUCGAGUCCUAUAUUACCCUUAAUCC